rnacentral:rRNA from 1 species
GGACGUGGCACGCUGCGAUAAGCGUCGGGGAGUUGUGAGCAAACUUUGAUCCGGCGAUUUCCGAAUGGGGAAACCCACCUUCACCAUUUCUCUCGUUGUGUGAGUAAUCACAUGGUGAGCGAGGUGGAUAAGGUAUCACCUUAGUGAAUAUAUAGCUUUGGUGAAGCGAACCCGGGGAACUGAAACAUCUCAGUACCUGGAGGAAAAGACAUCAACCGAGAUUCCGUUAGUAGUGGCGAGCGAACGCGGACCAGGCCAGUACUUCCUGGUUAGUUAGCAGAACACUUUGGAAAGAGUGGCCAUAGCGGGUGACAGCCCCGUAUGCGAAAGUGAUGAUGAAGGACUCGAGUAGGGCGGAACACGUGAAAUUCUGUCUGAACAUGGGGGGACCACCCUCCAAGCCUAAAUACUCGUACAUGACCGAUAGCGAACUAGUACCGUGAGGGAAAGGUGAAAAGCACCCCGAUUAGGGGAGUGAAACAGUACCUGAAACCGAAUGCUUACAAGCAGUGGGAGCUCCCUUGAGGAGUGACCGCGUACCUCUUGCAUAAUGGGUCAGUGACUUAAUUUAUCGAGCAAGCUUAAGCCGUUAGGUGUAGGCGCAGCGAAAGCGAGUCUGAAUAGGGCGACUGAGUUCGAUGAAUUAGACCCGAAACCCGGCGAUCUAGGCAUGACCAGGUUGAAGGUGCGGUAACACGCACUGGAGGACCGAACCGUUUAAUGUUGAAAAAUUAUCGGAUGAGUUGUGUUUAGGGGUGAAAGGCCAAUCAAGCCGGGAAAUAGCUGGUUCUCCGCGAAAACUAUUGAGGUAGUGCCUCGAGCGAAUACCCUAGGGGGUAGAGCACUGGAUGGGCUAGGGGGUCGCGAGAUCUACCAAACCUAACCAAACUCCGAAUACCAUCGAGUCUUAUCUGGCAGACAGACGGCGGGUGCUAAGGUCCGUCGUCAAAAGGGAAACAGCCCUAACCUACAGCUAAGGUCCCCAAGUCAUCACUAAGUGGGAAAGCAUGUGGGAAUCCCAAAACAACCAGG